rnacentral:rRNA from 1 species
AGUGAACGCUGGCGGUAGGCCUAACACAUGCAAGUCGAACGGCAGCACAGUAAGAGCUUGCUCUUACGGGUGGCGAGUGGCGGACGGGUGAGGAAUACAUCGGAAUCUACUUUUUCGUGGGGGAUAACGUAGGGAAACUUACGCUAAUACCGCAUACGACCUACGGGUGAAAGCAGGGGAUCUUCGGACCUUGCGCGAUUGAAUGAGCCGAUGUCGGAUUAGCUAGUUGGCGGGGUAAAGGCCCACCAAGGCGACGAUCCGUAGCUGGUCUGAGAGGAUGAUCAGCCACACUGGAACUGAGACACGGUCCAGACUCCUACGGGAGGCAGCAGUGGGGAAUGUUGGACAAUGGGCGGAAGCCUGAUCCAGCCAUACCGCGUGGGUGAAGAAGGCCUUCGGGUUGUAAAGCCCUUUUGUUGGGAAAGAAAAGCAGCAGGUUAAUACCCCGCUGUUCUGACGGUACCCAAAGAAUAAGCACCGGCUAACUUCGUG